rnacentral:tRNA from 2 species
AAAAUGGUGGCUGACUGGUAACGGUGUUCGCUUUGUAAGCGAAUGGUCCUGGGUUCGAUUCCCAUCAGUUCUA